rnacentral:rRNA from 1 species
GGAAGGGGUGUAUUUAUUAGAUUAAAAACCAACGCCCUUCGGGGCUUCUUGGUGAUUCAUGAUAACUUCACGGAUCGCAUGGCCUUGCGCCGGCGACGGUUCAUUCAAGUUUCUGCCCUAUCAACUUUCGAUGGUAAGGUAUUGGCUUACCAUGGUUUCAACGGGUAACGGGGAAUUAGGGUUCGAUUCCGGAGAGGGAGCCUGAGAAACGGCUACCACAUCCAAGGAAGGCAGCAGGCGCGCAAAUUACCCAAUCCCGACACGGGGAGGUAGUGACAAUAAAUACUGAUACAGGGCUCUUUUGGGUCUUGUAAUUGGAAUGAGUACAAUUUAAAUCCCUUAACGAGGAACAAUUGGAGGGCAAGUCUGGUGCCAGCAGCCGCGGUAAUUCCAGCUCCAAUAGCGUAUAUUAAAGUUGUUGUGGUUAAAAAGCUCGUAGUUGAACCUUGGGCCUGGCUGGCCGGUCCGCCUCACCGCGUGUACUGGUCCGGCCGGGCCUUUCCCUCUGUGGAACCCCAUGCCCUUCACUGGGUGUGGCGGGGAACCAGGACUUUUAC